AUGCCCGUACCUCCAGAACUGGAAGUUAUGGUAUCACAAAGAUACCUGCUUAUCCUGGAGACAAACAUUCCUUUUUCUUUUUUUAAGAAUGCCCUGUCUUACAGAUGUACAAGCCAAGCGUGUCAUCGGCCAUUUGAUGUCAUAACUUGUUUAGUUUCAUUCUUAGUUUCUUUCUUUCUAGAAAGAUAUUCAACUUCGGCAGGAAAAAAAUGUUUUUCAUUCUUUUCUGGUAGCUGGAUCCCAAACAAGAUGAAAAAUUACACUGCUGGCCCCAAACCUCCUACAGUUGCUCAUGGGCCUCCAUUCCUCUUUUGCUCAGAUCCUCUGCAUGAAUACAGGCAUGUCUCUGGUACAGCUCUCUACUUUUACUAUCAAUCUCCUCAAUUGAGAAAUAAACUCCCCCAUACUCACCCAUGCCUCCACCUCCAAUUUGUAGACAAGAGCUCUUCUGGCUCUAAAAGAUAGGCAUGCCUGGAAUAUUAACAUUUGUAUGGUAGUUGGUAAAAACAAAAAAACAAAAAAACACAAAAAAAACCUGAGUGUUCUUUUUCCUCUUAUUCUUGUGAAGGCGUACGGAUGUUCUAUAAUGCCAUUUGCAUAUAUGUAUAUAUACAUAUAUAUGCAUACACAUGCAUGUGUAUGUAUAUUUAUGCACAUGAAAAGGACUGCAAUUAUAUAAGUUGGUAGGACAUAAAUGUGGUGGGCUAGGGAUUGUAGGGGAUUUAGAGAUACAUAAAAACCAGCCCUCUCAUCAAGGAGCUUAAAAUCCAGUAGAGAAGGUAUGACAUAGGUGCAAAUAACCCUAGGCUGGGAGAAAUGCAGUAAGUGCUGGAAAAGACAGCUACCGCACCAUGGGAGUUCAAGGGAAGAGAUUCCAUGCAUCCAACAGGUGCAGGAGCCAUGGAAGCCUGUGGCAGGGGAGGCAUCCUGGCAGCAUCCUGAAGGAUGACAGGAGUCACCUCCACUGACAUUGAGGUCGAGUGUCAUCCUAAUGAGGGAAACCAUAAACAGGGAUCCAGAAACAGGCAGGAAAGCAUGCUGGGGUGGGGGAGGAUUGAGGAAGUCACUCUUGGUCAGAGCACAGGGCCUAUAAGGGAAAGAGAGGUCAAGAAUUUGGGGGAAAGGGUUCUGUGGUAGUUUUCUCAGCUGUUGUAACAAAUUGCCACAAACUGGUGGAUGCAGAUAACACAACUCUACCAUUGCACAAUUCUGGAGGAAAGAAGUCCAGAAUGGGUCUCACUGGGCUCAAACCAAAGAGUUUCACCAGACUGUAACCUUUCUGGAGGCUCUAAAGGAGAAACCAUUUUUCUCUUGUCUUUUCCAGUUAAAAACUGCUCCCCUUCAUUGACUCCUUACCCCGUCUGUCUUCAAAGCCAGCAAUGGCUGGUUGGGUCUUUCCCACCUCAUAUCCAAUCACAUUACUCUGACACUGCCUCUCCUGCCUCCUGCUUCCACACUUAAGGAUCCUUGUGAUGACACUGGCUCUACCCAGAUAAUCCAGGAUAAUCUCCUCAUCUCAAAAUCAGCAAUUAGCAACCUUCAUUGCUUCUGCAACCUUAAUUCCUCUUUGCCACAAAAUCUAACAUGUUCCUAGGUUCUGGGAAAUAGGACAUGGACAUCUUUGUGUGGGUGCGGGGAGGGGGAAUUAUUCUGCCUACCAUAAACUGGAACCACAGAUUCAAAGGCCCUGAGUGUCAGGAUUGUCAUCCUCAUUUUUCAUACUAGGGUAGAAAACGCAAUGUCUGUUUUCAGAUUAAAGAUGGUUUUUUUUUUAAAGCAAAUAUUUUCUUGCUUUUAGCUGGAAUUACAGCAAUUCAGCAUAAUGACCCAGGCUGUCUCAUACUGAUUGAAUGUUCCAGUUGGUGGUUAUAGAUGACUUUGAUUAAUAAAACAUGGGGAAAUAAAUUAAAUAUUGAUAAAUGCAGGUUGGUCUGUUCAGUUUUUCCAAACACGGAGCCCAUAGGGAGAGGAAAUCAUAAAAGAGGAUCCCAGUAUUGGAAAUAUUGGGAACUACUACCCUAAAAAACGUGGCUUCCAAGCAUUCCAGUUGGUUCCAUCCAUAGUAGAGAGCAUUCUUUUUCUAUUGUUGACACAUCUCUAGGCUUGCAGGAUGAGAAGUUAGGAAAAGAUUCGAAAAAAUAGAUUUGGCAAAUGCAUUUCAUCUUCCAGCUUGUUUAUGAUUUGAUCAAUAAUUCAUCCCUUAGCAUCUGUCUCUUAAAGACUAUCUUCUCUGUUGUCUUUGUGGAUGACAAAUUAGGGUAUUAAAAAACAAAAUACCUUCUUUUUAAAGCACACGGCAUCUCAAACGAAAUGCCCCAAAUUUGGAGUGUGUAGAUAACCAAAACUAAUGACUUAAAGCCAUACAACAGGAAGACAGAAGAAAUAUCUGACAAAGCAAGAAGCACAAAUGAGAUAACAGAAAAUCCAUCUGGUCUUGGGCACGGAGCUGUUCUAGUGGCCUUUAUUUAUUUGCUUAGUCAAUUUGAAGUUUCUCCCUUUGAAAACAUCAUUGCAGUUAACAUGUCCUACCAUGAACUACUGGAGUGUGAGAUUAUGUAGCUGUUCAUUGCACUGAGCACAGAUUUCUUUCUAUUCCAGCCAUUGGUAUAGAACAUAUUUUAAAGAUUUUAUUUAUUUAUUCAUGACAGACGCACAGAGAGAGGCACAGACACAGGCAGAGGGAGAAGCAGGCUCCCUAUGGGGAGCCUGAUGAGGGACUCGAUCCCAGGACGCCAAGAUCACAUCCUGAGCUGAAGGCAGACGUUCAACCACUGAGCCAUCCAGAUGUCCCCUUGGGCAAUUUUUAAAAAACACAAAUGUGGUCAUUUUACUCCCCUGCUUUGCAAACAUCAUCUCUUUAAAACCCACAAUCCUGUGGUUCUCCACAUUGGCUUGGCAUUAGAAUCACUCAUGGACUUUUAAUAAAAUACCACUGCCUGGAAUCCACUCAGGACCACUUAAAAACGACAACAGGAACACCAAUAAUUGCAAACACUUAUACUAGGCUCACAAUGUGCCAAACAUUUUCCCGAGGGCUACAAAUAUUUCCAUUUAAUCCUAAAACAACUCUGUGAUGAAGACAUCAUUAAGUAUCCCCGAUUUAUAAGUAAGGAAGGUGAGGCUCCCAAGGAUUAACUGCUCAGCUCAAAGUCACGUGACAAAGCUGAGGCUCUGAUCCAGGCAGUCUGGUUUCAGAGUCUCUACUCAGAAAACAAAAACAAAACAAAUUAAGCAAACACAAGGAAAAGCCUCACUGGUAACCUCUGGAGGAUGCUAGAGAACCAACCCACUAUUUUUUAAAAUGCCAAAUAAACACAUAGAAGCAGGUAUUUAUUCUGCCCUUAUGUGUCUAAACUAUACCUUAGGAUAGCUAAUGAUCUCUCUUUGUAGGAAAUUUUUGACUAAUAAAUGAAUGAGUUAAUAAAAUUAGAAUAUCAUUAUUUUACAGUCCUCAACAAAGUAAUGAAUUUAAGCCAUGACCAUCAAUGGAUGCAGAUUUCUCAGAAAGACGUGUCCAGGUUCUUCCUUAUAGAAGUACACAUCACCUCUUCUGUAAUGUUCUUGCUAGAAGAAUCAAAUCUCUUCAAGUUUCUAUAACCAAAUACCAUUUGGAAUAAAAUAAGAGACCAGUGGAACAUGUUACAUGACAUCAUGGCAGCAUGAGCAGCAAAAUCCAGACCGUGGGGAACUCAACAGACAAAACACUUGAUUUUCUUCACGUGUAAGCUGAGAAAGAGAAAGAGAAAAAGAAAGAGAUGGAACCUAAGGAUUAAAAGAUUCAUAUAAACUAAUAGUAAUGUUUGAACGUAUCAUGUUUGGAUCCCAAUUUGAUCAGAUACCUGUAAAAAAUAAAAUCUGGGAACAUUUGAA
rnacentral:lncRNA from 1 species